UGGGGUAUCUUGGACAAUGGGCGCAAGCCUGAUCCAGCCAUGCCGCGUGAGUGAAGAAGGUCUUAGGAUCGUAAAGCUCUUUCGCCAGAGAUGAUAAUGACAGUAUCUGGUAAAGAAACCCCGGCUAACUCCGUGCCAGCAGCCGCGGUAAUACGGAGGGGGUUAGCGUUGUUCGGAAUUACUGGGCGUAAAGCGUACGUAGGCGGAUCAGAAAGUAUGGGGUGAAAUCCCAGGGCUCAACCCUGGAACUGCCUCAUAAACUCCUGGUCUUGAGUUCGAGAGAGGUGAGUGGAACUCCGAGUGUAGAGGUGAAAUUCGUAGAUAUUCGGAAGAACACCAGUGGCGAAGGCGGCUCACUGGCUCGAUACUGACGCUGAGGUACGAAAGUGUGGGGAGCAAACAGGAUUAGAUACCCUGGUAGUCCACACCGUAAACGAUGAAUGCCAGUCGUCGGGUAGCAUGCUAUUCGGUGACACACCUAACGGAUUAAGCAUUCCGCCUGGGGAGUACGGUCGCAAGAUUAAAACUCAAAGGAAUUGACGGGGGCCCGCACAAGCGGUGGA
rnacentral:rRNA from 1 species